GACGAACGCUGGCGGCGUGCCUAAUACAUGCAAGUCGAACGCAGUGGGGACGGGUGAGUAACACGUGGGUAACCUCCCAUCAGAGGGGAUAACACUUGGAAACAGGUGCUAAACCGAUACUGCAUGAUGAACCAGCGGUGCAUUAGCUAGGUGGUGAGGUAACGGCGUACCAAGGCCACGAUGCAUAGCCGACCUGAGAGGGUGAUUGGCCACACGGGGAAGGAGACGCGGCCCAGACUCCUACGGGAGGCAGCAGUAGGGAAGCUUCGGCAAUGGACGAAAGUCUGACCGAGCAACGCCGCGUGAGUGAAGAAGGUUUUCGGAUCGUAAAGCUCUGUUGUUAGAGAAGCGGAAUCUAACCAGAAAGCCACGGCUAACUCCGUGCCAGCAGCCGCGGUAAUAC
rnacentral:rRNA from 1 species